GGUGGAGAGGAAAGGGUGGAUCUUGAUGAUAUUAUAAAGAAUACCCAGUGGCCCAUUGACAAAGGAAUGAAGACCAAUGAACUGUCUUGCCAACUUUUCUGAAACCCAUAAGGAAUUAAUAGGCAUCCUACAAAAGGUCUUAGAACGCUAAUUCUGAAACAAGGU